rnacentral:rRNA from 1 species
AGGAGCUUGCUCCUUUGACGUUAGCGGCGGACGGGUGAGUAACACGUGGGUAACCUACCUAUAAGACUGGGAUAACUUCGGGAAACCGGAGCUAAUACCGGAUAAUAUUUCGAACCGCAUGGUUCGAUAGUGAAAGAUGGUUUUGCUAUCACUUAUAGAUGGACCCGCGCCGUAUUAGCUAGUUGGUAAGGUAACGGCUUACCAAGGCGACGAUACGUAGCCGACCUGAGAGGGUGAUCGGCCACACUGGAACUGAGACACGGUCCAGACUCCUACGGGAGGCAGCAGUAGGGAAUCUUCCGCAAUGGGCGAAAGCCUGACGGAGCAACGCCGCGUGAGUGAUGAAGGUCUUCGGAUCGUAAAACUCUGUUAUUAGGGAAGAACAUACGUGUAAGUAACUGUGCACGUCUUGACGGUACCUAAUCAGAAAGCCACGGCUAACUACGUGCCAGCAGCCGCGGUAAUACGUAGGUGGCAAGCGUUAUCCGGAAUUAUUGGGCGUAAAGCGCGCGUAGGCGGUUUUUUAAGUCUGAUGUGAAAGCCCACGGCUCAACCGUGGAGGGUCAUUGGAAACUGGAAAACUUGAGUGCAGAAGAGGAAAGUGGAAUUCCAUGUGUAGCGGUGAAAUGCGCAGAGAUAUGGAGGAACACCAGUGGCGAAGGCGACUUUCUGGUCUGUAACUGACGCUGAUGUGCGAAAGCGUGGGGAUCAAACAGGAUUAGAUACCCUGGUAGUCCACGCCGUA